rnacentral:rRNA from 1 species
ACGUACGCUGGCGGCACGCCUAACACAUGCAAGUCGAGCGGGGUAGCAAUACCUAGCGGCAGACGGGUGCGUAACAUGUGGGAAUCUGCCUUUUGGUUCGGAACAACAUGGGGAAACCUGUGCUAAUACCGGAUAAGUCCUAACGGAGAAAGUUUUAAUGCCAAAAGAUGAGCCCGCAUUUGAUUAGCUUGUUGGUGAGGUAAAAGCUCACCAAGGCUAUAAUCAAUAGCUGAUUUGAGAGGAUGAUCAGCCACACUGGGACUGAGAUACGGCCCAGACUCCUACGGGAGGCAGCAGUGGGGAAUCUUAGACAAUGGGCGCAAGCCUGAUCUAGCCAUGCCGCGUGAGUGACGAAGGUCUUAGGAUCGUAAAGCUCUUUCGCCAGAGAUGAUAAUGACAGUAUCUGGUAAAGAAACCCCGGCUAACUCCGUGCCAGCAGCCGCGGUAAUACGGAGGGGGUUAGCGUUGUUCGGAAUUACUGGGCGUAAAGCGUACGUAGGCGGAUUGGAAAGUAGGGGGUGAAAUCCCAGGGCUCAACCCUGGAACUGCCUCCUAAACUAUCAGUCUAGAGUUCGAGAGAGGUGAGUGGAAUUCCCAAGUGUAGAGGUGAAAUUCGUAGAUAUUUGGAGGAACACCAGUGGCGAAGGCGGCUCACUGGCUCGAUACUGACGCUGAGGUACGAAAGUGUGGGGAGCAAACAGGAUUAGAUACCCUGGUAGUCCACACCGUAAACGAUGAAUGCCAGUCGUCGGGGAGCUUGCUCUUCGGUGACACACCUAACGGAUUAAGCAUUCCGCCUGGGGAGUACGGUCGCAAGAUUAAAACUCAAAGGAAUUGACGGGGGCCCGCACAAGCGGUGGAGCAUGUGGUUUAAUUCGACGCAACGCGCAGAACCUUACCAACCCUUGACAUCCUUGGACCGCUAGAGAGAUCUAGUUUUCUCGUAAGAGACCAAGUGACAGGUGCUGCAUGGCUGUCGUCAGCUCGUGUCGUGAGAUGUUCGGUUAAGUCCGGCAACGAGCGCAACCCACAUCUUUAGUUGCCAUCAGGUUAAGCUGGGCACUCUAGAGAAACUGCCCGUGAUAAGCGGGAGGAAGGUGUGGAUGACGUCAAGUCCUCAUGGCCCUUACGGGUUGGGCUACACACGUGCUACAAUGGCAUCAACAAUGGGUUAAUCCCUAAAAGAUGUCUCAGUUCGGAUUGGGGUCUGCAACUCGACCCCAUGAAGUUGGAAUCGCUAGUAAUCGCGUAACAGCAUGACGCGGUGAAUACGUUCCCGGGCCUUGUACACACCGCCC